rnacentral:tRNA from 2 species
AGGAGUGUAGCUCAGUCCGGUUAGAGCAUCGGUCUCCAAAACCGAGGGUCGUGGGUUCGAAUCCCUCCACUCCUGCCA